rnacentral:rRNA from 1 species
GUGGCCCCAAGUCAGGCGAGGCCCACCCGCCGAGU